GCGGGUGUAGCUCAGUUGGUUAGAGCGCCGGCCUGUCACGCCGGAGGUCACGGGUUCGAGCCCCGUCACUCGCG
rfam:Candidatus Liberibacter solanacearum CLso-ZC1, complete genome.